UAUCUUUUCUGUGUUUAUCUUAGACCUCCACGUGUAUAUGAACUGUGUGUGUAUCCUCGAACCAGCUUUUACAUAGUAUAUCUAAGCCUACCUUUUCUGCUCUAAAUAUGAUAAAAGAUAGGCUAUCAAUUUCUUGACUAAGAAAUUCAUUACAAAAAGUCAUGCCUCCUUGGUCAUCAAGCCAAUUCCAUUAUCAGUUUUUUCUAUGCACAUUGCUUCAUAGAUUGCUUACCUAUUCUCAAGGCAUGGGAAGAGCUUCUUGAUCUCAUGCUGAUUCCAUCAUCAAGCCACCAUAUUAUGUUGUUUUCAAUCUAGAGUAUGAUUUGUGAUUAUGUGAUUCAGAGACAAUUGUUUAGUUUCGAGAAAACUUGUAAAGGCUAGAUAUAUUUCUUUCCUAUGAAUCGACGAAUUCCCUUCUUUUUUCUUCUUCGCAAGAGAUUGUCCUUGAGGACUCGAGUUUUGAAAAUAUCAAAUAACUAUCGUCCAUACAUAAUUGAAGUGGAUAAGUAAUUCCUGGAACUACUUUCUGGAUUCCUUCAACUCAUUGCUGCGUCGUCUAUGGCAGUUCUUGGAUUUGAAAACGCAGGCUGUCUGGGCAACGGUAACUGUGCUUCACUUGUUAACAUUGAUACAACAUCUGACAUGGUUGGCCUAUCUAUGGCGCUGUCUUCCACGCAUAGCAAGCCAACGUUAAUGCAUCUCAAGACUUGGUCUUUAGAGCAAGAUUCUCUUAGUAUUGGUGGAUCCACCAGCUCAAAUGGGCUACCUGCUUUCCAUAGCUCCCAUGCCUGAAUCAAAUUUACGCUAAAUGUUAAAAUUAAGCUUAUGCAGCUAGCAAUGUUCUAAUUUAAGAGAUAGCAUGAAAUAAUGUGUAACAUUCUUUUAUUGAUUUUCCAGUUUAGUAUGAUCCUAAACUAAUAAUUUUUAUU